CCCAGAGCGCAGAUCCCGUGAGCCGCGCCUGAUCCCAGACGAGGAGUUCCAGGCCGGGAUUCCAACCGCAACCCUCAGACCCAGAGCUAAACCCAGACCUUGGCGUCGCCUCUGCCGCCGCCCGCUCCUCGCGAAGAGCCCAGAGCCGAAACGUCGGACUCCGUCAAGAUUCUCCGUGGCCACACGAAGUCGCCGCCUCCGUCCGAGCGAGCCGCGUUCUCUGCCACGCUCGCCGCGUCUCAACAAAAAAUAAAAAUCUAAAAAUAGA